UGGAAUUCGGCGCGAAUUAUGGAAUUCGGAGCGAAUUAUGGAAUUCGGUGCGAAUUAUGGAAUUCGGUGCGAAUUAUGGAAUUCGGUGCGAAUUAUGGAAUUCGGUGCGAAUUUGAUUUAUGAUGGUUUUAGGCAAAUUAAAAGUUGGAAAUGGGUGCGAACACGAUUUAGAGCACUUUUAAAGGAACUGAAAGUUGGAAAUGGGUACGAACUCGAUUUAGAACAUUUUUGAAGGAACCGAAAGUUGGAAGUGGGCGCGAACACGAUUUAGAGCACUUUUAAAGGAACUGAAAGUAGGAAAUGGGUGCGAACUCGAUUUCGAGCAUUUUUGAAGGAACCGAAAGUUGGAAGUGGGUGCGAACUCGAUUUAGAGCAUUAUUAAAGGAAGUAAAAGUUGGAAAUGGGUGCAAACUCAAUUUCGAGCAUUUUUAUUGAAACGAAAA